AUUGAACGCUGGCGGCAGGCCUAACACAUGCAAGUCGAACGGUAACAGGAAACAGCUUGCUGUUUCGCUGACGAGUGGCGGACGGGUGAGUAAUGUCUGGGAAACUGCCUGAUGGAGGGGGAUAACUACUGGAAACGGUAGCUAAUACCGCAUAACGUCGCAAGACCAAAGAGGGGGACCUUCGGGCCUCUUGCCAUCGGAUGUGCCCAGAUGGGAUUAGCUAGUAGGUGGGGUAACGGCUCACCUAGGCGACGAUCCCUAGCUGGUCUGAGAGGAUGACCAGCCACACUGGAACUGAGACACGGUCCAGACUCCUACGGGAGGCAGCAGUGGGGAAUAUUGCACAAUGGGCGCAAGCCUGAUGCAGCUAUGCCGCGUGUAUGAAGAAGGCCUUCGGGUUGUAAAGUACUUUCAGCGGGGAGGAAGGGAGUAAAGUUAAUACCUUUACUCAUUGACGUUACCCGCAGAAGAAGCACCGGCUAACUCCGUG
rnacentral:rRNA from 1 species